GAGAUCACUUUGGCAGCACAUUUACUAAAAUUGGAACGAUACAGAGAAGAUUAGCAUGACCCCUGCACAAGGAUAACACACAAAUUUGUGAAGCAUUCCAUAUUUUU
rnacentral:snRNA from 1 species